CGCCUCUGCCCUUCCUGGGCGUUUCCUCCCUAAUGAACUGCCCGGCUUUCGAGCCGGGCUUUUUUUUGGCCCGC
rfam:Caulobacter sp. K31, complete genome.